rnacentral:rRNA from 1 species
AAAAGCGAAUAAGAGCGUAUGGUGGAUGCCUAGGCAUUGAGAGGCGAUGAAGGACGUGGUAAGCUGCGAUAAGCUUCGGUAAGCUGCAUACAAGCGUUAUAACCGAAGAUUUCCGAAUGGGACAACCUAAUAUACUGAAGGUAUAUUAUCCGAAAGGAAGCCAACCCAGAGAACUGAAACAUCUAAGUACCUGGAGGAAAAGAAAAUAAUCUAAUGAUUCCCUAAGUAGUGGCGAGCGAACAGGGAAGAGCCCAAACUUAAGGAGCGUGCUCCUUAAGGGUUGUAGGACUGCAUUUAGAAAGCAACAUCAAACUGAAUUACCUGGAAAGGUAAGCGAAACGAGGUGAAAGCCCUGUAGGUAGAAAUUGUUGUGGACGAGCAGUAUCCUGAGUAGCGCGGGACCGGAGAAAUCCUGCGUGAAUCUGCCGGCACCAUCCGGUAAGGCUAAAUACUCCUCAAUGACCGAUAGUGAACCAGUACCGUAAGGGAAAGGUGAAAAGUACUCCGAAUAGGAGAGUGAAAUAGUACCUGAAACCGUGCGCUUACAAGCGGUCGGAGCUCGCAAGAGUGACGGCGUGCCUUUUGCAUAAUGAACCUACGAGUUACUCCUCACUGGCGAGGUUAAGUUCUUAAGUAACGGAGCCGCAGCGAAAGCGAGUCCAAAUAGGGCGACUAGUCAGUGGGGGUAGACGCGAAACUUUGUGAUCUAUCCAUGGGCAGGAUGAAGGUUAGGUAAAACUAACUGGAGGUCCGAACUCAUUAACGUUGAAAAGUUAUGGGAUGACCUGUGGAUAGGGGUGAAAGGCCAAUCAAACUGAGAGAUAGCUCGUUCUCCCCGAAAUGUUUUUAGGAACAGCGUCGCAUUAUAGAAGUAUUAUAGAGGUAGAGCUACUGAUUGGGCUAGGGGGCUUCACCGCCUACCAAACCCUGACAAACUCCGAAUGCUAUAAUAUAUCUGCGGCAGUGAGGCUGUGGGCGCUAAGGUCCAUGGCCGAGAGGGAAAUAACCCAGACCAUCAUCUAAGGUCCCUAAAUCUAUGUUAAGUUGAUCAAACGAAGUUCGAAUCCUAUGACAGCCAGGAUGUUGGCUUGGAAGCAGCCAUUCAUUUAAAGAGUGCGUAACAGCUCACUGGUCGAGGGUUCGGGCACGGAAAAUAAUCGGGCAUCAAACAUAGUACCGAAGAUAUGGACUCGUAAGAGUGGUAGGGGAGCAUUCUAAACAGCGUCGAAGGUGUACCGUGAGGUGUGCUGGAGCGUUUAGAAAAGAAAAUGUAGGUAUAAGUAACGAUAAAUAUAGUGAAAAACUAUAUCGCCGAAAGACUAAGGGUUCCUGAUCAACGUUAAUCGGAUCAGGGUUAGUCGGGUCCUUAGGCAAACCCGAAAGGGGUAGUCGAUGGAAAGUUGGUUAAUAUUCCAACACUUGUGUUAGUUUCGAUGGAGUGACGGAGUAGUGAAAGGUCCGCGAGGCAACGGAUGUUCUCGUUAAAGCAUGUAGAUAUAUUGGGAGUUGGCAAAUCCGCUCUUGAUGUCGAAUGUGAUAGUACUCAAAGGCUUCGGCCGGCGAGAUAGUGACCCUAAUCAGACUCACGAGAAAAACUUCUAAGGUUAGGCUAAUACAACCCGUACCGUAAACCGACACAGGUAGUCGAGAUGAGUAUUCUAAGGCGCUCGGGUGAGCCGUGGAGAAGGAACUAGGCAAAUUGUGGCUGUAACUUCGGGAUAAAGCCAUCCGCAGCGAUGCGGAUUCAAUGAAAUGGUUCAACCAACUGUUUAGCAAAAACACAGGGCCCUGCAAAAUCGAAAGAUGACGUAUAGAGCCUGAUACCUGCCCGGUGCUGGAAGGUUAAGGAAGCUUGUCAGGAGCAAUCCGAAGCUUGUGACUGAAGCCCCAGUAAACGGCGGCCGUAACUAUAACGGUCCUAAGGUAGCGAAAUUCCUUGUCGGGUAAGUUCCGACCUGCACGAAUGGUCUAAUGAGUUGAACACUGUCUCCUCCA